rnacentral:rRNA from 1 species
UACGUAGGGUGCAAGCGUUAAUCGGAAUUACUGGGCGUAAAGCGUGCGCAGGCGGCUUUGCAAGACAGAUGUGAAAUCCCCGGGCUCAACCUGGGAACUGCAUUUGUGACUGCAUGGCUGGAGUGCGGCAGAAGGGGAUGGAAUUCCGCGUGUAGCAGUGAAAUGCGUAGAUAUGCGGAGGAACACCGAUGGCGAAGGCAAUCCCCUGGGCCUGCACUGACGCUCAUGCACGAAAGCGUGGGGAGCAAACAGG